UAGCCACCGGCACUUCCCUCUGUGUCUCAGCCUUGAAUACACACUCUGUGUGUCUGUGUGAGCCUUUAUUAGGCAUGUUUUGUUUUUGACUCAACCUGUUCUGCUUCUUUAACACCUUCACUUCAACUGGAAAUUCUUGCAGACACAAAGGUCCUUGGUGGAUACAGCAGGAAAUGGGCUGCGCACGAUCAAGAUCAAACACACAUGUGGCCAAUGCAACAGAUAAGCACUUGAGAAUUUACUAUCAGACAUCACAGAUGACACUUGAAGAUCUUGUGGUCAAAGCAGAGGCAGGGGAGGGUUAUUCAAGCUUAAGCGUCUCAGCACAGGGAAAUAUCAGCUCCACAAUGGUUUUUAGACCUGACUCACGAGUGCACUACAUCCCUCUUCCUCCUAAAGAGUACAUUAACAUUGCAGGGAAAGGGGAGCUGUUCGUCAGCGUACUUGUGGACGACAAGAAAACAAAAAACACCUGCCUUAAGUGCAUCUGCCUCAACUUUCAUGUUCCCAGUGACCGAUCCUUCAUUGUGACGGCCAGUGAAAAUAUCAAGCUCCAGAAGUACGGUGCAAACGUCUGGGUUGAUGAAAGUGGUCAGAACCAUUUUAGAUAUUAAUAAUCAUUUUUGAAAAGUGUACAUCUUUCAUGUGAUUUCUUCUCUAAUUCAUUGCAAAUUCAUUUUUUUCUAAAACUGAAAUUGUGUGCUGUGGGAUUCGACAACAGCUACUGUUUAAAAUGUGCUUCAUGAAUAAAAAUUGAUUUGAUGACUAAA